UAGGGAAUCUUCCACAAUGGACGCAAGUCUGAUGGAGCAACGCCGCGUGAGUGAAGAAGGUUUUCGGAUCGUAAAGCUCUGUUGUUGGUGAAGAAGGAUAGAGGCAGUAACUGGUCUUUAUUUGACGGUAAUCAACCAGAAAGUCACGGCUAACUACGUGCCAGCAGCCGGUAAUACGUAGGUGGCAAGCGUUGUCCGGAUUUAUUGGGCGUAAAGCGAGCGCAGGCGGAAUGAUAAGUCUGAUGUGAAAGCCCACGGCUCAACCGUGGGACUGCAUCGGAAACUGUCAUUCUUGAGUAGAGAAGAGGAGAGUAGAAUUCCAUGUGUAGCGGUGGAAUGCGUAGAUAUAUGGAAGAGCACCAGUGGCGAAGGCGGCUCUCUGGUCUGCAACUGACGCUGAGGCUCGAAAGCAUGGGUAGCGAACAGG
rnacentral:rRNA from 1 species